UUAAAUUGAAGAGUUUGAUCAUGGCUCAGAUUGAACGCUGGCGGCAGGCCUAACACAUGCAAGUCGAACGGUAACAGAAAGCAGCUUGCUGCUUUGCUGACGAGUGGCGGACGGGUGAGYAAUGUCUGGGAAACUGCCUGAUGGAGGGGGAUMACUACUGGAAACGGUAGCUAAUACCGCAUAACGUCGCAAGACCAAAGAGGGGGACCUUCGGGCCUCUUGCCAUCGGAUGUGCCCAGAUGGGAUUAGCUCGUAGGUGGGGUAACGGCCCACCUAGGCGACGAUCCCUAGCUGGUCGGAGAGGAUGCCCAGCCCCACUGGAACUGAAACAUGGGCCAAACCACCUACGGGAGG
rnacentral:rRNA from 1 species